AGGCACGGGUUGUCUUUGUUCUGCAAGUUAUGAGCUCAUAUGUCAACAUGGGAAAACAGAUGUUUAGAUGAAAAAAAUAAGCAAAAGGCAGAAUGAGGAACAUGUCCAAGUUCCUUUGGCUUUUGUUCAGGUGUUCCAUGGACAGAGCUAAUGGGAAUCAUGUGGAGUGGCUGAUUAUCAUUGGAAUCAGAUGGUAUUUUUUGUAACUGUAUAAAAGGAAAGAAAUUUUACUCUGUAUACUCACAGCUUUGGUUUACUGAGCUUAGUUAAAAUAGUCUUUCACUGCUUAUUAUGAGAAGGAUAGAAGUCAAUUGUCAGAGUGUAUUUAAUCCUCUUCUGUGUGAGAAAAAAACUUGUAUCAUGAUGUUAGAAGAUCACCAGAGCUCUUCUGUUCCUGCCUGUGACUAUUUAGUUGAAAGUCCUGACUCUUUUGACCUUUGCUCCUCAGGCCCAGUUCUUAGUCCUGACUGAAGUGCUGCCAUGCUCAUUUACUUCAAGAGAUAUGUUCAUCUUCUGCCUUCAUUUCCUCCUUAUGAUGCUGUGGCCAGUUACUUCAUGGCCUGUGAUGUGGUUUAUCAUGUCAUUGGCUAGGAAAUCCAUGUAUUCAUAAAGAAUAAUUUUUUAGGGCCCUUCCCUUCCCUUCCCUUCCCUUCCCUUCCCUUCCCUUCCCUUCCCAUGAAAUGCCCUCUCUGUUCCAAUAGGUAGAUACCAAAUAAUUUUUUUUUUUUCUAUUUCUCUGUUUCAAAGAGCAAACAGACCUUCCUAUCACAGGGAAUAAUUUUCAUUAUGACUUUGGGAUCCCGGUUUUUUCAGUUGCCAUAGAGUCAUGAAUCCUGAUCCUCCUACACCUCUCCCAUACAAGCACUUCGAGAUGCUAUGUCAGGGCACAGUGUACCAUGGAACAUUCUGGUAUAAAAUUAUAUUAAAGCAAUCAGUUAUAUCACAGUCUUUAAACUGAGAGUUUCAUGCAGCAAACCUUGCUAAGUUUUUUGAAAGAUAAGAAUCUGCAGCCUACAAGGGACUGCUGAGUGCUUGUGAAAUCUGCAAGUUUACACUGAGAAAUGGCUUAGGUAUAUUUAUAAAAAAUAAUUGUUGGGUAAUCUGAUCUAAAGCCUCCCUUGCUUGUCAGAUUGCCAAAAGAUAAGUUUACUUUAACAUUAUUUCACUUUAUUAAUUUCAUUAUUAUAUGAAAUUCAUCAUCUUUCCCUGAGA
rnacentral:lncRNA from 1 species